rnacentral:lncRNA from 1 species
AGUGGACCAUGAAAUUGGGGUCAAAACUAUAAUUUGGCAGUGAAAUUAGAAAGAUAAUAUCAUGGGGAACAUGUGUACUAAGUUUCAAGUUGAUUGGACUUCAACUUCUUCAAAAACUACCUUGACCAAAAACUUUAACCUGAAGCGGACAGACGAACGGACGGACGGACGAACGGAGGCACGGACCAGAAAACAUAAUGCCCUCUACAAUCGUAGGUGGGGCAUAAAAAUAAAAAAAAGGGGGGAAACGGUCUAUUAUGAAUUUAAAACUAGGAAUGAAAAACCUAUAUGAACCACACCAAUUAACGACAACCAUGUACUAUACACAUUAACCUCGAUGUCAGAAGAGGUAUCCAACGAAACUGAGCAAAAUGACAAUAAAACAUGAAUUAACAAAGGAC